GUUAAGCGACUAAGCGUACACGGUGGAUGCCCUGGCAGUCAGAGGCGAUGAAGGACGUGCUAAUCUGCGAUAAGCGUCGGUGAGGUGAUAUGAACCGUUAUAACCGGCGAUUUCCGAAUGGGGAAACCCAGUGUGUUUCGACACACUAUCAUUAACUGAAUCCAUAGGUUAAUGAGGCGAACCGGGGGAACUGAAACAUCUAAGUACCCCGAGGAAAAGAAAUCAACCGAGAUUCCCCCAGUAGCGGCGAGCGAACGGGGAGGAGCCCAGAGCCUGAAUCAGUGUGUGUGUUAGUGGAAGCGUCUGGAAAGGCGCGCGAUACAGGGUGACAGCCCCGUACACAAAAAUGCACAUAUUGUGAGCUCGAUGAGUAGGGCGGGACACGUGGUAUCCUGUCUGAAUAUGGGGGGACCAUCCUCCAAGGCUAAAUACUCCUGACUGACCGAUAGUGAACCAGUACCGUGAGGGAAAGGCGAAAAGAACCCCGGCGAGGGGAGUGAAAAAGAACCUGAAACCGUGUACGUACAAGCAGUGGGAGCCUCUUAAUGGGGUGACUGCGUACCUUUUGUAUAAUGGGUCAGCGACUUAUAUUCUGUAGCAAGGUUAACCGAAUAGGGGAGCCGAAGGGAAACCGAGUCUUAACUGGGCGUUAAGUUGCAGGGUAUAGACCCGAAACCCGGUGAUCUAGCCAUGGGCAGGUUGAAGGUUGGGUAACACUAACUGGAGGACCGAACCGACUAAUGUUGAAAAAUUAGCGGAUGACUUGUGGCUGGGGGUGAAAGGCCAAUCAAACCGGGAGAUAGCUGGUUCUCCCCGAAAGCUAUUUAGGUAGCGCCUCGUGAAUUCAUCUCCGGGGGUAGAGCACUGUUUCGGCAAGGGGGUCAUCCCGACUUACCAACCCGAUGCAAACUGCGAAUACCGGAGAAUGUUAUCACGGGAGACACACGGCGGGUGCUAACGUCCGUCGUGAAGAGGGAAACAACCCAGACCGCCAGCUAAGGUCCCAAAGUCAUGGUUAAGUGGGAAACGAUGUGGGAAGGCCCAGACAGCCA
rnacentral:rRNA from 1 species